rnacentral:lncRNA from 1 species
AAUACGACAUCGUUCGGGUACGUCAAGAAUCGUAUGAAGGUUGUGAUUGAUCAAUAAAGGAUUCGUCACUCUUAGAUAGUAGGAGAUUAUGAUCUGCGUUUCAUUCAAUUAAGUCAAUGAUCAAAUCCUUGGCCAAGGUGUACUCAUAAGUCGAAAAGGAGUUUUCGAUUUAUAUUGACUUAAUAGUGGAGUGAAAGAUAUGAUCGAUGAUCGAGAUUGACACAACUCCAUAUCUCGUAAUUGAUCGGAUCAUAUUGACGAAGGGAUUAUAGUUUCACGGUAAACGAACGAAUUUGAUUUUGUCAUACCACGUGACAUUUCCCGUCACAUGUAUUGCCCUGACACAUUGCUGGAUGUCAAUCAGGGACGGCGAAUGUGAAUUGACGAUAAAUUAAAAGGGUGUUUUAAUUUAUCAAUUUUGAUUAGAUCAAAAUAAUAUUUCACGUCGUUAGGCAUCGUG